rnacentral:rRNA from 1 species
GGGGGGGGGGGGGGGGGGGGGGAGGGGAUGGAAGGCGGGGGGAGGGGGGAGGAGGGUGCUGCUCUGAGGUUAGCGGCGGACGUGUGGGUAACACGUGGGUAACGUACCUAUCAGAGUGGUAGAACUACGGGGCACCGGAGCUGAGAACGGAUAAUAUAUUGAACCGCAUGGGUCCAUAGUGAAAGACGGUUUGGCUGUACCUUCUCGAUGGAUCCGCGCAGCCUUAGCUAGUUGGUAAGGUAACGGAUGACCAAUGCAACGAGGCGUAGCCGACCUGAGAGGGUGCUCGGCCACACGGGAACGGAGACACGGUCCAGACUCCUACGGGAGGCAGCAGUAGGGAAUCUUCCGCAAUGGGCGAAAGCCUGACGGAGCAACGCCGCGUGAGUGAUGAAGGUCUUCGGAUCGUAAAACUCUGUUAUUAGGGAAGACCAAAUGUGUAAGUAACUAUGCACGUCUUGACGGUACCUAAUCAGAAAGCCACGGCUAACUACGUG